UCCCCUCCUUUUACUUUUCCAAGAGUUCGUGCUCUCAUUUUUUUUAUAAAAUAUCUAUACUAUUUCAAGGGGCGAAAAAACUUGAACCAUAGCAUUCAAAGGAAGCUUACCUACUCAGUUUCUUGUUAAUGAUAAAAAAAAAUUGAACCAUACUACAUAGACAACUUACUCAGGACUCGCGUAUGGAUGCAAUGUAAAAUAUUAAAAUAUAAUAUAAAAUGUUAAAAAUCAAUACCGUUCCCAGUACUAUUAUUUUACACGAGGUACAUCCGUAAAGCGGAGGAACUCUAAUAUUUUAUUAUUGAAUAACAUGGUUCUAUUUUUUUUAUGAGAUUAUUAGCCACGGUAAUUGAUAAGAGGGGCGAAAAACAUGAGGAAGAAAAAGAGGGAGGAGGGCGCU
rnacentral:lncRNA from 1 species